AGUGAACGCUGGCGGUAGGCCUAACACAUGCAAGUCGAACGGCAGCACAGUAAGAGCUUGCUCUUACGGGUGGCGAGUGGCGGACGGGUGAGGAAUACAUCGGAAUCUACUUUUUCGUGGGGGAUAACGUAGGGAAACUUACGCUAAUACCGCAUACGACCUACGGGUGAAAGCAGGGGAUCUUCGGACCUUGUGCGAUUGAAUGAGCCGAUGUCGGAUUAGCUAGUUGGCGGGUUAAAGGCCCACCAAGGCGACGAUCCGUAGCUGGUCUGAGAGGAUGAUCAGACACACUGGAACUGAGACACGGUCCAGACUCCUACGGGAGGCAGCAGUGGGGAAUAUUGGACAAUGGGCGCGAGCCUGAUCCAGCCAUACCGCGUGGGUGAAGAAGGCCUUCGGGUUGUAAAGCCAUUUUGUUGGGAAAGAAAAGCAGCAGGUUAAUACCCCGCUGUUAUGACGGUACCCAAAGAAUAAGCACCGGCUAACUUCGUG
rnacentral:rRNA from 1 species